rnacentral:lncRNA from 1 species
ACUGAUUAUAUAAAUGUAGGUAUAAUGUGAGUAAUCCUCCCACCCCCCACACCCCACUCUGCUCGGUCUUCUCAGAGCUGAUGGCAUCACUAUCUUUGACGUUUUCUCGGGUUCUGUAAUUUGGGUGAAGCAGAGUCCAGCUCCAGCUUCAAGAGUCGGUGUGUGACCCAGGCUGGCUACUCAGAUCUUCCCAUCUCUUCGGUUUGUCUUAGAGGUGGGCUCAUGAUCCUGUCAGAGACGCUGAGAUGCACUUCCGGGGCAUUACAGGGGCUGUUGGGGGAAAGCCCCUCGUUCCCGGUAGCCAUCUUGAUUCCAGGAGUGUGGCGCCGAGGAACGAACCGAGCUAGCGCUGUGCGAGGCAGAGCCUCGGGGAGAGAGCCAGUGCUUCCGUGGUGUACAGAUGGUAUUCAAUUAACAGAAGAAAAAUUAUUCAUAUAUGCUUCAUCAGAGACAGCUAAAGACGAAAAAACUACCAUCCCCGUAUGUGACUAAUUCACACUGCACACCGCCAAGCGCCUGCUCUGAAUUCCAUGCACACCGUACCAGGCAAGGUUACUGGCUCUGGGAAGCACCACAAGGACACGGCCAUCUCAAGGACAAGGCCAUCUCAAGACACAUUUGGUAGUGUGUUGACUACACACAAAGACACUGUACAGCUUAAAAACAAAUCUUGGCUCAGCCUUACAUAUCAGUUUUUUCUUUAAAAGGAGUGAGUUUAUUCAGUUCAGUUCAGUUCAGUGGCUCAGUCGUGUACAACUCUUUGCGACCCCAUGAAUCGCAGCACGCCAGACCUCCCUGUUCAUCAUCAACUCCUGGAGUUUACCCAAACUCACGUCCAUCGAGUCAGUGAUGCCAUCCAGCCGUCUCAUCCUCGGUCGUCCCCUCUCCUCCUGCCCCCAAUCCCUCCCAGCAUCAGAGUCUUUCCAAUGAGUCAACUCUUCGCAUGAGGUGGCCAGAGUACUGGAGCUUCAGCUUUAGCAUCAGUCCUUCCAAAGUUGAUCAUGGGGGGAUAAGUGCUGUAUAGACAACGAAAAAACGCAAUUUCAGAAGAACCAACUUAUUCACCAUCUUCUUCCUCUUCGCCUUCUUGCUCCCCCUCGUGCUCCGCCUCGUCCUUCCCUUCCUCCUCUUCCUCACAUUUUUCAGCCCCGAGGACUCUCCCCCACUCCCCUCCCCCUGCCUUUUUUCCUGUAUCAGGUUUCUGUUUAGCCCUGUUCGCAGCAAUAUCCUUUUUGUACUUUUCCUUCAGCUCUGCAGCCUUCUUCUCUUAAGGCUGCUUGUCAUCUGUCAGUAUCAGCAUCAGUUUAGCCGCUCAGUCAUGUCCGACUCUCUAUGACCCCAUAGACCGCAGCACGCCAGGCCUCCCUGUCCAUCACCAAAUCCCAGAGUUUACUCAAACUGGUCCAUCGAGUCGGUGAAGCCAUCCAACCAUCUCAUCCUCUGUCGUCCCCUUCUCCCGCCUUCAGUCUGUCCCAACAUCAGGGUCUUUUCUAAUGAGUCAGAGGCCCAAGUAUUAGAGUUUCAGCUUCAGCAUCUGCAGCAGUGUUAUUCCACAUUUCUCCCCGUUUCUUUGCAACGCCACCAAUGGCUUAGGCCAGGAUGUUCUCCUUUGCUUUUUGGAUGAUGCUCAGAACUAAGGAAAAAGGCUGGAGGAGGCCUCUUGGGUGCACUGGGAUCCUUGAACUUCUUUUCUGUUUCCCCUUUAAGCAGGGGUAUACAUUUUGGUUUCUCUUUUGUAACCGGCCUGGUCUGCCUUGCCACGUCUUUGAAUUUCCCCUUCUCUUUAGCAGACAUUGUCUUCCACCUCUCUGAGCACUUCUCAGAAGACUCCGGGAGGCUGACUGAAGCAUCUGGAUGCUUCUUCUUGUGCUCCUCCCAGCAAGUUUGCACAAAGAAUGCAUUUUGCCUCUGGGCUUCUUAGCUAGUGUUUAUUUUUCCCCUGCGAGGUACAGACCUGCCAGGUGCCCACGGGCCCUUGCUUGCCCCGCCGCCGGAGCUUUGGAGUUCAGUGUGCUGCGGCAGCACCAAAAUGUAUUAUUUCAUUUACUAAUGGUCCAGUCUUGUUUGUAU